rnacentral:rRNA from 1 species
GACAGAGGGUGCGAACGUUGCUCGGAAUUACUGGGCGUAAAGCGCGUGUAGGCGGGCGAUCAAGUCAGGUGUGAAAUCCCCAGGCUCAACCUGGGAACUGCACUUGAAACUGGUCGCCUUGAGUGUUGGAGAGGGAAGCGGAAUUCCUGGUGUAGAGGUGAAAUUCGUAGAUAUCAGGAGGAACACCGGUGGCGAAGGCGGCUUCCUGGACAAUUACUGACGCUGAGACGCGAAAGCGUGGGGAGCAAACAGG